CCCUUAGAUGUUCUGGGCCGCACGCGCGCUACACUGACGAAGUCAGCGAGCAUGUCCUACGCCGACAGGUGCGGGGAAUCUUGUCAAACUUCGUCGUGAUGGGGAUUGAUUAUUGAAAUUCUUGAUCAUCAACGAGGAAUUCCUAGUAAGCGCAAGUCAGCAGCUUGCGUUGAUUACGUCCCUGCCCUUUGUACACACCGCCCGUCGCUACUACCGAUUGAAUGGUUUAGUGAGAUCUACGGAUUGGCGCCACUGCGGCUCAGCAAUGGGCUCGGUGGAUGCCGAAAAGUUGAUCAAACUUGAUCAUUUAGAGGAAGUAAAAGUCGUAACA
rnacentral:rRNA from 1 species